UAAAACAAGAAGCACACUGUAAACCGCAUCGACACCAACACCAGAAAUAAACUGCAAAGCCUUCUGCUGUUGCAUAGCAACAUUCAUUAUUAUGUGACUGGUACAACAAACCAAUGCUUUCAAACAAAGAAGCAGCGGUACGGUACGGUACAGACACAACCGCGACCUGCGCAGACAUCUGUCACCUGCGAGAUCGCGAUAACUGAGAUGGAACUCAACACAAAGACCGGCUACAAAUAACUUAGGACACCUCAUGCCCACAUCGACUCUGAUGCACCUCCUUCCUCGCUGGGGUGCCAAACCCUAUCUAUCUUCCAUGGAUGUCACAUUCGGCAACUUGGUCUGGGGGCACCGACCUUUCGGAGUCUGCAUUAGGGUCCAGGGGGCACCCGGGUAGCGGUAACAUCGGCUCGCCUCUCAGUUAUUGGUCUCUGAAUAGGGUGGAGAGCAGCAGGUCUUGCACAAACAUCGCUCUCACGCUGGCUUGCUCCCUUUCUUCCCUUGUGAGCGACGAGUCAAUACUGCCAAG
rnacentral:lncRNA from 1 species